rnacentral:lncRNA from 1 species
UGUGUUUGGACUUGAUGAUCUUGAAGGUCUUUUCCAACCUGAGCGAUUCUAUGAGAACAAGUACAGAGGAACCAAAACAGCUUUACAAAGCAGUUAAAAAAAACCAAAAAACAAUUAGUCUACACCACUGACAAGGUGAAUCUCAGGUUGAGCAAUGUUAUGGUAUUUUUCCAGGUAGCUGUGUAGCUUCCAGGCCAUACAGGUGCUUCAGAUGAAAGAAAUGGUAUCUGAUGCUUGGGGACAAGCAUGCGGUUUUGCAGCUCAAGAAGCCUUCUUACCAGCUUGCUCAUGUUGUGCUGUCCUGGUGUUGAAAGGAGAAGUUUUCAUGAUAGUCGCUUGGAGUGGUGAGAUUGCUCAUUUGCCUCCAAAGAGUAAGUGCUCGUCUGCUAUUCUGGCAGCCUGUGGCUCCGCCAUGGCCACAGAUCAUGACUAUAACAGGACUCGUCAGGAUUUUGGCUCCUCCUUUUCUGUUGCUUCCUCUCAGGCUUCCGUGGAGAGUCCUGCAGACAGUGUGCACACAGGAGAAAUGCACACAGAUUUGUGCAUUUGCAACAUUAACGGCAGUCCUUCCAUCUGGUUUGCAAAGCUGGACUCUGUAAUAAUGAUACGUUUCCAUCUUUCAGUCCUUUGGUGUUGAGCUUCUAUAUUCUUAAAGCCUUAUUUGCACAUGGCUUUGUAUUAU